AUUGAACGCUGGCGGCCGGCCUAACACAUGCAAGUCGCGCGGAGCGGCGGACGGGUGAGUAAUGCCUAGGAAUCUGCCUGGUAGUGGGGGCUAACGUCCGGAAACGGGCGCUAAUAUCGCAUACUAUCAGUUGAGCCUAGGUCGGAUUAGCUAGUUGGUGGGGUAAAGGCCUAACAAGGCGACGAUCCGUAACUGGUCUGAGGGGCUGAUCAGUCAGACUGGAACUAAGACACGGUCCAGACUCCUACGGUAGGCAGCAGUGGGGAAUAUGGCACUAUGGUGGAAACCCUUGUGCAGCCAUGCCGCGUUUUGGAAGAAGGCCUUCGGGUUGUAAAGCACUUUCAGCGAGGAGGCGUUACUCGCAGAAGAAGCAGCGGCUAACUCCGUGCCAGCAGCCGCGGUAAUUC
rnacentral:rRNA from 1 species